rnacentral:rRNA from 1 species
UAACCUGCCCAAGAGAUCGGGAUAACACCUGGAAACAGAUGCUAAUACCGGAUAACAACAGAUGAUGCCUAUCAACUGUUUAAAAGAUGGUUCUGCUAUCACUCUUGGAUGGACCUGCGGUGCAUUAGCUAGUUGGUAGGGUAACGGCCUACCAAGGCGAUGAUGCAUAGCCGAGUUGAGAGACUGAUCGGCCACAUUGGGACUGAGACACGGCCCAAACUCCUACGGGAGGCAGCAGUG